rnacentral:lncRNA from 1 species
AAUCUUUCGGCCGAGCUGAAGUGACCCUCCCUCCCCUACCCCUUCACGCUCUACCCCUCUGCCUGACAUUCCUGACUGGGUGCUGUUUCCCUCCAUGGAAGCUGCUGUGCAGGUCCCCGGGAGGAGGAGAGCCUCCUUCCACUGCAGCCAGCCCAUUGGAGCAAGGAGUGUGCUGAGGAGAGAGGGGGAUGUAUGAUGGACUCUGUACAUAGUGACUGGAGGCCGCGGCGCCACGUCUGUUACACGGAGAGCCUGGCUACAUUGCUCGCUGCCUUGGCCUGGGAUUCCAGUUAUUAUUUUUUUUGUUUUCUAAUUUUAUUUCGCGUUUGUUUACUGAGAUGAGUGCACAGGUGAGACCAAGCAAAAAAAAAAAAAGACAAAGCCAGGACAGAGACAAAGCUACCUCCAUCAAGAUCCUUUUUAAUACAGAAACUGACCGGACUUGUCACCUAAUAAUAAUAAUAAAAAAAAAAACAACACAAAAGAGACGACAAAACAAAAAACAUAAAAAACAGAGCAAAAUCUUGGUAAAAGUGAAAAAAAAAAUAAAAUUUCCUUGUAUUUUAUUUCGUUUUAUUUUACAGUGUGUAAAGGGGGUGGUGCGAGGGCGCUGUGGGAGGGGAAGGGGCUGGGCUGAGGCGCUGCCGCCAUCUUGUGCGGGGGCGGGCAGGGGGCUGCGCGUGCGCGCGGCCGUUACCGGCCUCCACGUGUGGCGGCGGCGCCAUGGGGCGGAAGCUCGACCCGCUGAGGGAGAAGCGCGGCCCCGGGCGCAAGGCCCGCAAGCAGCGGGGGGCCGAGGUGGAGCUGGCCCGCUUCUUGCCCCACGAGGAGGAGAGCGGCAGGAGGAAGCUGUCCAGCCACGCGCGGAGGAGGGCUGCCAAGAGGCGACUGGGAGCAGCCAGCGGCCCGGCGGGGAGGAAGGCGCCGGGAGGAGGGCGGCAGCCGGCAGCUAA